rnacentral:rRNA from 1 species
AGUGAACGCUGGCGGUAGGCCUAACACAUGCAAGUCGAACGGCAGCACAGUAAGAGCUUGCUCUUACGGGUGGCGAGUGGCGGACGGGUGAGGAAUACAUCGGAAUCUACUUUUUCGUGGGGGAUAACGUAGGGAAACUUACGCUAAUACCGCAUACGACCUACGGGUGAAAGCAGGGGAUCUUCGGACCUUGCUCGAUUGAAUGAGCCGCUGUCGGAUUAGCUAGUUGGCGGGGUAAAGGCCCACCAAGGCGACGAUCCGUGGCUGGUCUGAGAGGAUGGACAGCCACACUGGAAAUGAGAAACGGUACAGAGUCCUACGGGAGGCACCAGUGAGGAAUAUUGAACAAUGGGCGAAAGCCUGAUCCAGGCAUACCGCGUGGGGGAAGAGGGCCUUCGGGUUGUGAAGCCCUUUUGUUGGGAAAGAAAAGCAGCAGGUUAAUACCCCGCUGUUCUGACGGUACCCAAAGAAGAAGCACCGGCUAACUACGUG